rnacentral:rRNA from 1 species
GACGAACGCUGGCGGCGUGCUUAACACAUGCAAGUCGAACGAUGAAGCCUAGCUUGCUAGGUGGAUUAGUGGCGAACGGGUGAGUAAUACGUGAGUGACCUACCUUUGACUCUGGGAUAAGCCUGGGAAACUGGGUCUAAUACCGGAUACGACCAAUCUCUGCAUGGGGUGUUGGUGGAAAGCGUUAUGGAGUGGUUUUAGAUGGGCUCACGGCCUAUCAGCUUGUUGGUGAGGUAAUGGCUUACCAAGGCGACGACGGGUAGCCGGCCUGAGAGGGUGACCGGCCACACUGGGACUGAGACACGGCCCAGACUCCUACGGGAGGCAGCAGUAGGGAAUAUUGCACAAUGGGCGCAAGCCUGAUGCAGCGACGCCGCGUGAGGGAUGACGGCCUUCGGGUUGUAAACCUCUGUUAGCAUCGAAGAAGCGAAAGUGACGGUAGGUGCAGAGAAAGCGCCGGCUAACUACGUGCCAGCAGCCGCGGUAAUACGUAGGGCGCGAGCGUUGUCCCGAAUUAUUGGGCGUAAAGAGCUUGUAGGCGGUUGGUCGCGUCUGCUGUGAAGGCCGGGGCUUAACUCCGGUUUUGCAGUGGGUACGGGCUAACUAGAGUGCAGCAGGGGAGACUGGAAUUCCUGGUGUAGCGGUGGAAUGCACAGAUAUCAGGGGGAACACCGAUGGCGAAGGCAGGUCUCUGGGCUGUAACUGACGCUGAGAAGCGAAAGCAUGGGGAGCGAACAGGAUUAGAUACCCUAGUAGUCCAUGCCGUAAACGUUGGGCACUAGGUGUGGGGGACAUUCCACGUUUUCCGCGCCGUAACUAACGCAUUAAGUGCCCCGCCUGGGGAGUACGGCCGCAAGGCUAAAACUCAAAGGAAUUGACGGGGGCCCGCACAAGCGGCGGAGCAUGCGGAUUAAUUCGAUGCAACGCGAAGAACCUUACCAAGGCUUGACAUGCAUUAGAUCGCGUCAGAGAUGGCGUUUCCCUUCGGGGCUGGUGUACAGGUGGUGCAUGGUUGUCGUCAGCUCGUGUCGUGAGAUGUUGGGUUAAGUCCCGCAACGAGCGCAACCCUCGUUCUAUGUUGCCAGCGGUUCGGCCGGGGACUCAUAGGAGACUGCCGGGGUUAACCCGGAGGAAGGUGGGGAUGACGUCAAAUCAUCAUGCCCCUUAUGUCUUGGGCUUCACGCAUGCUACAAUGGCCGGUACAGAGGGUUGCGAUACUGUGAGGUGGAGCUAAUCCCUUAAAGCCGGUCUCAGUUCGGAUUGGGGUCUGCAACUCGACCCCAUGAAGUCGGAGUCGCUAGUAAUCGCAGAUCAGCAACGCUGCGGUGAAUACGUUCCCGGGCCU